rnacentral:tRNA from 1 species
GCGCCGGUGAUGUAAGGCGAACAUCGCUGCCCGAAAAGCAGAAAAUGCGGGUUCGAGUCCCGCUUGGCGCA